rnacentral:rRNA from 1 species
UACGUAGGGUGCGAGCGUUGUCCGGAAUUACUGGGCGUAAAGAGCUCGUAGGUGGUUUGUCGCGUUGUCCGUGAAAACUCACAGCUCAACUGUGGGCGUGCGGGCGAUACGGGCAGACUGGAGUACUGCAGGGGAGACUGGAAUUCCUGGUGUAGCGGUGGAAUGCGCAGAUAUCAGGAGGAACACCGGUGGCGAAGGCGGGUCUCUGGGCAGUAACUGACGCUGGAGGAGCGAAAGCCGUGGGGAGCGAACAGG